ACGAACGCUGGCGGCGUGCCUAAUACAUGCAAGUCGAACGGCUUUUCUAUGGAAGCUUGCUUCCACUGAGAAGAUAGUGGCGAACGGGUGAGUAACACGUGGGUAACCUGCCCAUAAGAGGGGGAGUAACAUCCGGAAACGGGUGCUAAUACCGCAUAGUUUUCUUGAUCGCAUGAUUGAGAAAGGAAAGACGGCCUUUGUGCUGUCGCUUAUGGAUGGACCCGCGGCGUAUUAGUUAGUUGGUGAGGUAACGGCUCACCAAGACGAUGAUACGUAGCCGACCUGAGAGGGUGAUCGGCCACAUUGGGACUGAGACACGGCCCAAACUCCUACGGGAGGCAGCAGUAGGGAAUCUUCCGCAAUGGACGAAAGUCUGACGGAGCAACGCCGCGUGAGUGAAGAAAAGGUUUUCGGAUCGUAAAACUCUGUUGUCAGAGAAGAACAAGUUGGAGAGUAACUGCUCCAGCCUUGACGGUAUCUGACCAGAAAGCCACGGCUAACUACGUGCCAGCCGCAGC
rnacentral:rRNA from 1 species